GGGGGCGUACCGGUUUCGACGGGGGUCUUGCACCAUGAUAAGCGAGUAGAGCCUUGCUGUUGCUCUUAAAUCUACGGCACGUUUUAAAAAUAAACGCUAACAACAACAUUACUGUAAGCUCUCGCAGCCUGCAGGUCGCUGCCUAAGUCAGCGUCUGUCCUGUAACUGAGUACCACGGCUUUUACAGGGCAUCAUUUCAGUGGUGAACGUCCCGGCGGCACGUCCACACCGCAGGGAUGUAUUUGGACUACCUUCCCUCUCAGCCUGUUCACCGGCGGGGUCGGCGGGGAAACUUAAAUAGAUGGACUACACUCGUAGAAAUUUGUGGGAACGGGCUUUCGGACAGGAGUUCGAUUCUCCUCGCCUCCACCA
rnacentral:tmRNA from 1 species